rnacentral:rRNA from 1 species
UACAGAGGUCCCAAGCGUUGUUCGGAAUUACUGGGCGUAAAGGGCCAGUAGGCGGCCAACUAAGUCGGACGUGAAAUCCCCAGGCUCAACCUGGGAACUGCGUCCGAUACUGGAUGGCUUGAAUUCGGGAGAGGGAUGCAGAAUUCCAGGUGUAGCGGUGAAAUGACGUAGAUAUCUGGAGGAAUACCGGUGGCGAAGGCGGCAUCCUGGACCGACAUUGACGCUGAACGGCGAAAGCUAGGGGAGCGAAACGGG